rnacentral:tRNA from 1 species
GCUUCUGUAGCACAACGGUAGUGCGGCUGCCUUGUAAGCAGUUGAUGAGGGUUCGAGUCCCUACGGAAGCUCCA